GUUUCAGCAGCCGCGGUAAUACGUAGGGGGCGAGCGUUGUUCGGAUUUACUGGGCGUAAAGAGCGCGUAGGCGGUUCGAUCAGUCGGAGGUGAAAUCCCUCGGCUCAACCGAGGACCCGCGUCCGAUACUGUCGAACUUGAGUGCAGGAGAGGAGAGCGGAAUUCCCAGUGUAGCGGUGAAAUGCGUAGAUAUUGGGAGGAACACCGGUGGCGAAGGCGGCUCUCUGGACUGCUACUGACGCUGAGGCGCGAAAGCUAGGGGAGCAAACGGGAUUAGAUACCCGGGUAGUCC
rnacentral:rRNA from 1 species